rnacentral:lncRNA from 1 species
AAUCUCAAAACGCAGUGUUCAAAUAAGGAUUAAAUUGUAACAACGCGUAAAUCCCAUGGAAAAUGUAAAAACAAAUAAAACAUGAUUGAGGCUUAAUUAAGGAUCGAUGCAAGAGGGGAGGGACUUAUAGCACAAAUAUCCCUUCACCGCGAAAACGAGAGGGUCCUGAGAGUAAAUGGGUCGGGUGGUCGGGUUGCGUCGUGAAACGACGCCGUUUCAACGCCAAAACUCACGGCUUAAAACGCCGCCGUUUUUGAACACAUAUAAAAGCUAAAAUCUACCCUAAAAAUCAUUUAGCAGAUCAUUUCCUCAAAACAAAACCCUACAAUAUUUUUUAAACUCUCUUAAUCUCCCAUGCAAACCUCGACGGCACCGAAAUAUGCUUCCAUCUCUGCUGUGGCUUCAAAUGGUCCCCAGAGACCCGUCUACCUUGGAUCGGAGGAGCAAACGCCGAUUAGAUCGACGCCGAGCAAUAGCUAAGCAAACUUUUCUCUUUCUUUUUUUUAUAUCUUUAUGAGAUAUAUUCAAAACGAAAACCAAAGAUAAAGAAAAAAAAAACCAUGAACUAAAUGAAUAAAUCACCUUUUUUUCUUUCUGAGUAUAAAUGAAUAAAUCACCUUUUUUUUCUUUCUGAGUAUAUUUCUUCCCUUUUUUGUAUUCAAAAUCAUCCCCUUUUAUAUUUGAUUCCAUUCGGUUUUAUAGCCGAAAAAAUAAAAAUAAAAUAAAUAAAAGAAAGAAAGAAAAAUACAAAUUUCAUUGCUGUAAUUUUGCUAUUAUUUGUUGCUUGCUCCUUUUGUUGGUUAGUCUGUUGCAGGUAUGUAUGGCGUGGAGCAGCUGUUCGUGGGCGUGUCGACGUGGAGCUUGAAGGAACGGAGGCACACGUGUGCGCUGGGUUGCGCUGGAUGCCAGUAUGAAACUGUUGGCUGGGGCGCAAAGGGAAGAAACCCUAGGGUUUUUGUUCAAAAGUGUCUUUGGCCGUUUGGGCAUUGGCCCAUUGUAACUGGGUCGGGUUUUAAUUGAGUUGUUUGGGUUUUAGCCUGGUUGGGUUAGGCUUGGCCUAUUAUUGGGUCAUGUGUUUGGGUUUAUAAUUUGUAAAUGGACUUAGGACAAUUUUAAUUAGUUUAUUAUUUUUGUUUUUUGAUUUUUUUUACUUUAUCAGGCCAGGGCGAAAUUGGCCUUCUACAAUUAUUAUAAACAUAAAAUAAAUAAAUCAAAUUAAUACAAUUGUAUAGUAAUAAAAAUGUACAAGUGUGAUAAAUACAUAUAUACAAUUGUAAUAUAUAUAUGUAUUUACUUAUUAUUUAAGAAAUAAUAAUUAUUAUGUUAUUAU